UCCAUGGUGGUCCAGUGGCUAAGACCCUGUGCUCCCAACGCAGGGGUUCCUGGUUCAAUCCCUGGUCAGGGAA
rfam:Ovis aries breed Texel chromosome 14, whole genome shotgun sequence.